CCCUUAGAUGUUCUGGGCCGCACGCGCGCUACACUGACGAAUGCAACGAGCUUAUAACCUUGGCCGAAAGGUCUGGGUAAUCUCCAAAUUUCGUCGUGAUGGGGAUAGAUUAUUGCAAUUAUUAAUCUUCAACGAGGAAUGCCUAGUAAGCGCAAGUCAUCAGCUUGCGUUGAUUACGUCCCUGCCCUUUGUACACACCGCCCGUCGCUCCCACCGAUUGAAUGGUCCGGUGAAGCGUUCGGACCGUGGCCUUUGGACGGUUCGCCGUCUGUUGGCUGCGGGAAGUUCGUUAAACCUUAUCAUUUAGAGGAAGGAGAAGUCGUAACA
rnacentral:rRNA from 1 species